rnacentral:rRNA from 1 species
UACGUAGGGUGCGAGCGUUAAUCGGAAUUACUGGGCGUAAAGCGUGCGCAGGCGGUUUGUCAAGUCUGAUGUGAAAGCCCCGGGCUCAACCUGGGAAUGGCAUUGGAAACUGGCAGGCUAGAGUGUGGCAGAGGGGGGUGGAAUUCCGCGUGUAGCAGUGAAAUGCGUAGAUAUGUGGAGGAACACCGAUGGCGAAGGCAGCCCCCUGGGUCAAAACUGACGCUCAUGCACGAAAGCGUGGGGAGCAAACAGG